rnacentral:rRNA from 1 species
AGCGAACGCUGGCGGCAGGCCUAACACAUGCAAGUCGAACGAACCUUUCGGGGUUAGUGGCGGACGGGUGAGUAACACGUGGGAACGUGCCUUUAGGUUCGGAAUAACUCAGGGAAACUUGUGCUAAUACCGAAUGUGCCCUUCGGGGGAAAGAUUUAUCGCCUUUAGAGCGGCCCGCGUCUGAUUAGCUAGUUGGUUGGGGUAAUGGCUCACCAAGGCGACGAGCAGUAGCUGGUCUGAGAGGAUGCUCAGCCACAUUGGGACUGAGACACGGCCCAAACUCCUACGGGGGGCAGCAGUGGGGAGUCUUGCGCAAUGGGCGAAAGCCUGACGCAGCCAUGCCGCGUGAAUGAUGAAGGUCUUAGGAUUGUAAAAUUCUUUCUCCGGGGACGAUAAUGACGGUACCCGGAGAAGAAGCCCCGGCUAACUUCGUG